UUAAUGUUUGAUUUUGGUUUAAAGUCUUUGUUGUAUUAUUAAUUUAUCGCAUGAAAAUUAUUUAUAAUGGGAGAUAUAAAGAUUAAUUUUAUAUUAGUUUUUUAGAGGGAUAUAAUUUAGUAUGAUAAUUAUUUAUAUUCUCAGCGUAAGGAUUUAGUGAAUAUAUGGAAGUGUGAACUAGUGAGUAAUAGUAUUAAAUCCGAUAAAAUAUUUGUGCCAGCAUUCGCGGUUAGACUUUAGGGUUAAAUAAAGAAGUAAAUAUAAAAGUUACUUGUAUAAAUAUGAAUAUUAUUUCCUAAUAUUAAUAGGUGAAAUUAUUGUUAUUUUGUAAAAUUUUAGAAUAUUUUAAGGAAGCUAAUAAGCUUUAAAGAUAAACUAGGAUUAGAUACCCUAUUAUAUUAAAGUUUAAUAAAUAAAUAUUGAAUUAUUAGUAGUUAUAAUUUAAAAUUUAAAGAAUUUGGCGGUGGUUUAGUCUUGUCAGAGGAACCUGUUUAAGUUUGAUCGAUACACCUCGUAAUAUCUUACUUAUUUUUAGUUUGUAUACCAUCAUUAUUAGAUAAUUUUUAAAAGAUAAAUUAUUAAAAUUAAGUUAUUGAAUAAAUUAGAUCAAGGUGCAGCUUAUAAAUAAGUUUAAAUGGGUUACAAUAAAUUUUAUUUAAAUGGAAAAGAUUAGUAAGUUAGAUUUAGGAAGGAGGAUUUGAUAGUAAUAUAAGUUUAAUAAGCUUGUAAGAUAAGAGCUCUAAAUUAUGUACAUAUUGCCCGUCGCUUUCAUUAAUUAAUGAGAUAAGUCGUAACAUAGUAGAUGUACUGGAAAGUGUAUCUAGAAUUU
rnacentral:ncRNA from 1 species